CCUUAUUAGGAACGAUAAUCAUCAUCAUCUGUAAUGAACUUUAAGAUGGAGCUUCCUUCAAACAAAGAUUAUAAUUAUUUCCGUUUCAUGGAGCUUUCCAAUUUGCUAAGAGGCGACUCUCGUAGCUUGCGAUAAGUGGGUGAGGGUGAUUUAUUUUAAUCUUUCUAUUUUUAAUACAAAUCUCUCAUCAACUCACUAAUAUAUGUCCAUUUCAACCAAAUUUGACAUUUUUGUUUUAAUAUGUGAUAUGGAUAUUGCCUGAGAUUAAUUGUCGGUGUCUGAUCAAUGCUCUCUGCAUCCAUAAAUAUGUACUUAAAUCCAAAGGUUCAAUCAAUGAAGUUAAUCAAAUUGCACAGCUGAGGAUCAUAAUCAAACCCAAGCCUUGUGUUGGUGUAGGGACUUUAUGUAAUGCACAAUAGAUUUGCUACCAUGUGCUUGGGCUGGUACAUAGGAUCCGGACCCUCAUACCUCGAGCUAUGUGUAUCUUGACCUUUUGCCCUUCAUUCUAAUUGGUUUUCAGCUCCUUGUCUAAUUCAUUUACACCAUUUUUCACAGAUGAAAGACUACAUUGCAACCCCAAAACCCAAUGGUUAUCAGAGCCUUCAUACUAAUGUAAUUUCAUUUCUUUAUGAAAGCAUGUUUCGUCUAGAAGUUCAGGUACCAAAAUUAUUUUCACUGGGCUUUGGUUUGGUUAUCAAAGCCUUCAUACUACAGUGGAAAAGUUAUUGUUAAUGGCUUGGUCAGACAUAGAGUGGCUAACGACAGAUACUUGAGAGGGAAACAUCUGUAAUGGUUAAGUAUUCUGGUAGCUAAAUUCUUCAUCAUGACCUCUGCCCAGUGAUGACAAGUAUGAGACAAAAAGCGUCUCCCCAGAUGAAGCAAGGGUGUUACGGAGAGGGGGGGAGAAUGAAUUCAGAUGUAAGCGUCUCCCCAAAUGUGGUGGUUGUAUUUGUUCUUGUCAUCCUUCUCAUAAGAUUUUUUACCGGACACAAAAAGGACGAUAAGGAUCAAGUGGAGUUUAUUGCUAAGAAAACUAGUCUUGGGGAUACUGUUGAUGGAGCAAUCAAAAUUUUCACUGUUGCAGUCACGAUUGUUGUUACAGGUUCGGAGGCUAUCUGCUUGUGAAACAAUGGGUUCUGCUACUACAAUUUGCAGUGAUAAAAUUGGAACCUUGACAUUGAACAACUAGAUAACUCUAUGGGCUCAAUGAGGCUGUUUCUUUUUUGCCCCCUUUUCUUUAUUUUACCCCUUUGCUCUUUCAGUUUGAAGCCAUUAUAAGAACUAGAUAACUAUAUGGGGUUGUUUCUUUUUUACUUAAUGGGCUCAAUGAGUUAAGUUCUUACUCUAGACAACUAUAAAUGGUUGUUUCUUUUUGAAUUAAUUUGGACAAAAUGACAGAUCACAGAUUGAGAAUAGGGAACAACCACUAUUUGUUUGCGAUUAAUCUAUACAAAAACAAAGCUUAAAUCGAAAGGAU